AGGGAGCUGGAUUGCGAAGGGCUGGGAGCUGGACUGUGGUCAGGAAGGGAAGCACCACCAGACUCAUAAGCUCAGGUUUUCCCUCCGGGAGAAACAGCAUCAGAUUUCAACAACAAUGGCAAUAACAAGCACUCCAGCCCAUCUCAACUAACUUUUUUCCCUUUCCCCACAAAAGGACAAUUAUUACCAUCUAAGACACUGUCAGACAAGGGGGAUUUUCCUUCUAAAGACACUCUACAGCUAAAGGGAAAGAGGACAAGGGAUACUUAAAAGGAAAGCCUUACUUAAUACUUUACCUUUCAAAUGUUUUAACUGUUUUUCCUUUUUUUUCUGUAUCUUUAUUAAAGGGUUAAAACUA